rnacentral:miRNA from 1 species
AGGGGAGUGCUGUUGGAGUGGC